AUUGAACGCUGGCGGCAUGCCUUACACAUGCAAGUCGAACGGCAGCACGGGUGCUUGCACCUGGUGGCGAGUGGCGAACGGGUGAGUAAUACAUCGGAACAUGUCCUGUAGUGGGGGAUAGCCCGGCGAAAGCCGGAUUAAUACCGCAUACGAUCUACGGAUGAAAGCGGGGGCCCUUCGGGCCUCGCGCUAUAGGGUUGGCCGAUGGCUGAUUAGCUAGUUGGUGGGGUAAAGGCCUACCAAGGCGACGAUCAGUAGCUGGUCUGAGAGGACGACCAGCCACACUGGGACUGAGACACGGCCCAGACUCCGACGGGAGGCAGCAGUGGGGAAUUUUGGACAAUGGGCGAAAGCCUGAUCCAGCAAUGCCGCGUGUGUGAAGAAGGCCUUCGGGUUGUAAAGCACUUUUGUCCGGAAAGAAAUCCUUGGCCCUAAUACGGUCGGGGGAUGACGGUACCGGAAGAAUAAGCACCGGCUAACUACGU
rnacentral:rRNA from 1 species